AUUGAACGCUGGCGGCAGGCCUAACACAUGCAAGUCGAGCGGAUGAAGGGAGCUUGCUCCUGGAUUCAGCGGCGGACGGGUGAGUAAUGCCUAGGAAUCUGCCUGGUAGUGGGGGAUAACGUCCGGAAACGGGCGCUAAUACCGCAUACGUCCUGAGGGAGAAAGUGGGGGAUCUUCGGACCUCACGCUAUCAGAUGAGCCUAGGUCGGAUUAGCUAGUUGGUGGGGUAAAGGCCUACCAAGGCGACGAUCCGUAACUGGUCUAAGAGGAUGAUCAGCCACACUGGAACUGAGACACGGUCCAGACUCCUACGGGAGGCAGCAGUGGGGAAUAUUGGACAAUGGGCGAAAGCCUGAUCCAGCCAUGCCGCGUGUGUGAAGAAGGUCUUCGGAUUGUAAAGCACUUUAAGUUGGGAGGAAGGGCAGUAAGUUAAUACCUUGCUGUUUUGACGUUACCAACAGAAUAAGCACCGGCUAACUUCGUG
rnacentral:rRNA from 1 species